rnacentral:rRNA from 1 species
GCUAAACGCGAAGAACCUUACCCACACUUGACAUACCUCUUAGGGCUUUCAGAGAUGAUUGCUUUCGGUUCGGCCGGGAGGAUACAGGUGCUGCAUGGCUGUCGUCAGCUCGUGUCGUGAGAUGUUGGGUUAAGUCCCGCAACGAGCGCAACCCUGUCGUAUGUUGCCAGCAUUUAGUUGGGCACUCAUGCGAGACUGCCGGUGAUAAGCCGGAGGAAGGCGGGGAGUGACGUCAAGUCAUCAUGGCCCUUACGUGUGGGGCUAGAAACGUGCUACAAUGGUGGUUACAGUGGGCAGCGAGGUCGUGAGGCCAAGCUAAUCCCUAAAAGCCAUCUCAGUUCAGAUUGUAGUCUGCAACUCGACUACAUGAAGUUGGAAUCGCUAGUAAUCGUGGAUCAGCAUGUCACGGUGAAUAUGUUACCCCGGGU